CGAUUCUGGUGUUGAUCCGGCUGCUGCUGGCUUGCAACUAACUUCAGAUGGGAAGCCAAAGAUCUUGGAUGUUAUUGACUGUACUGGGAGUGGAGAUGUUGAUACCUCAAAAGUGGUGAAGGCUGAUGAGGACGGUCGGAUUCGCAGAGCUUCUGGAGCUUCAUUGGUUGUCAAUUCUUCAUAGAAAACCCCUUCUGAAGAG